rnacentral:rRNA from 1 species
UAAUACGAAGGGGGCUAGCGUUGCUCGGAAUUACUGGGCGUAAAGGGCGCGUAGGCGGUCCUGUGAGUCAGGCGUGAAAUUCCCGGGCUUAACCUGGGGACUGCGCUUGAUACUGCGGGACUUGAGGAUGGAAGAGGGUCGUGGAAUUCCCAGUGUAGAGGUGAAAUUCGUAGAUAUUGGGAAGAACACCGGUGGCGAAGGCGGCGACCUGGUCCAUUUCUGACGCUGAGGCGCGACAGCGUGGGGAGCAAACAGGAUUAGAUACCCUGGUAGUCCACGCCGUAAACGAUGUGCGCUGGAUGUUGGGUGACCUAGUCACUCAGUGUCGUAGCCAACGCGGUAAGCGCACCGCCUGGGGAGUACGGCCGCAAGGUUG